rnacentral:snoRNA from 1 species
AUGAAAAUAGAAGCUACUUACAGUGCAACCAUAGACAUCAUAUACAUCAAAACAGAUGGUUCCUAUAGACAGGGUCUAUAUAGUUAUCAAAUUUUCUGUGUGAUGGCUCCGUACAUA